CGUUCCAGAAUCUGAUGAGUUUAGCCCACUUAUACUUGUCAAGUAACAAGUUGGAGCUUAUUCCUGAGAAAGCGUUCCAGAAUCUGACUAGUUUAACCCGCUUGUAAGUAGAUCACAUAUAAGGGUAUUAUUAUGCCUAUAAGAGGGAAUACGAAUCUCUAGAUUUCCAUUAAUUUAAAGUAAUUUUCGAUCGAAACCAACCUUCAUUUGUUAAAAGUGGGUUCAACUCUAACUCCAAAACAUCAGCGAGCUUGAUUGUUCAUUGAUGUCAAAUUUUCUGAGGCACAGAAUGUUUUUGUAUCACACAUGACACAGUAAAAUAAAAAGCAACCAUUUGCUAAUAUUUUUUGGCCUAAGAGGCUUGUCAGGAAACAUGUUGAAGCUUAUUCCUGAGAAAGCGUUCCAGAAUCUGACCAGUUUAACCUACUUUUAUGUAGACAACAUAUGACAAAGAUAUGAAUCUCUAGAUUCCAUUAAUUCGAAGUGGUUUUCGAUCGAAACCAGCCUUGACGAGUUGAACCCCCUUGUAAGUAGAAAACAUAUAACAAAGGGUAUUUAUGCUAAUAGAA